UGAGUAAUGUCUGGGAAACUGCCCGAUGGAGGGGGAUAACUACUGGAAACGGUAGCUAAUACCGCAUAACGUCGCAAGACCAAAGUGGGGGACCUUCGGGCCUCACACCAUCGGAUGCGCCCAGAUGGGAUUAGCUAGUAGGUGGGGUAAUGGCUCACCUAGGCGACGAUCCCUAGCUGGUCUGAGAGGAUGACCAGCCACACUGGAACUGAGACACGGUCCAGACUCCUACGGGAGGCAGCAGUGGGGAAUAUUGCACAAUGGGCGCAAGCCUGAUGCAGCCAUGCCGCGUGUAUGAAGAAGGCCUUCGGGUUGUAAAGUACUUUCAGCGGGGAGGAAGGCGGUGGAGUUAAUAGCUUCACCGAUUGACGUUACCCGCAGAAGAAGCACCGGCUAACUCCGUGCCAGCAGCCGCGGUAAUACGGAGGGUGCAAGCGUUAAUCGGAAUUACUGGGCGUAAAGCGCACGCAGGCGGUCUGUCAAGUCGGAUGUGAAAUCCCCGGG
rnacentral:rRNA from 1 species